rnacentral:sRNA from 1 species
GUAGCAUGGGUUCGAAUCCCAGCGAGGGAAGAACCAAAAAAAAUUUUGUUAUUCCCUCGCCGGGAUUCGAACCCAUGCUAC